rnacentral:snRNA from 1 species
UUUACUUUGGGGAUAUCCGAUAAAAUUAGAACCAUAUAAAGAAGAAGAAUAUGGUUUCUCCGCAAGGAUGACACGGAAAUCUAAAAAUGAUCCACAUUAUU